GACGAACGCUGGCGGCGUGCCUAAUACAUGCAAGUCGAGCGAGCGGAACCAACAGAUUUACUUCGGUAAUGACGUUGGGAAAGCGAGCGGCGGAUGGGUGAGUAACACGUGGGGAACCUGCCCCUAAGUCUGGGAUACCAUUUGGAAACAGGUGCUAAUACCGGAUAAUAAAGCAGAUCGCAUGAUCAGCUUUUGAAAGGCGGCGUAAGCUGUCGCUAAGGGAUGGCCCCGCGGUGCAUUAGCUAGUUGGUAAGGUAACGGCUUACCAAGGCGACGAUGCAUAGCCGAGUUGAGAGACUGAUCGGCCACAUUGGGACUGAGACACGGCCCAAACUCCUACGGGAGGCAGCAGUAGGGAAUCUUCCACAAUGGACGCAAGUCUGAUGGAGCAACGCCGCGUGAGUGAAGAAGGUUUUCGGAUCGUAAAGCUCUGUUGUUGGUGAAGAAGGAUAGAGGUAGUAACUGGCCUUUAUUUGACGGUAAUCAACCAGAAAGUCACGGCUAACUACGUGCCAGCAGCCGCGGUAAUACGUAGGUGGCAAGCGUUGUCCGGAUUUAUUGGGCGUAAAGCGAGCGCAGGCGGAAAAAUAAGUCUAAUGUGAAAGCCCUCGGCUUAACCGAGGAAU
rnacentral:rRNA from 1 species